rnacentral:lncRNA from 1 species
CUUACGACAAUGGAUCAGUUGUGGCCGAGAAGUGGACCAGAAUGCUACGAACGACCCGAAUCUUAUUAUUGUGCGUGUUGUUGACUGUGGCGGCCAUUUUGGUGAUUGAGGCCGCGGCGCUACGAGAGGGAAAUGUGAAGAAACUGAAGUGUCUCCCGUGCCAGCCAUGCAAACCGUGCCAUAAACUUGAUCAAAAUAACAUAUGUCGGAUUGUAAUCGAUUGUGAUGAUACUUAGUCAAUGGCUCCCGACUUCCUUUAAGAAAUGGGGUAUACUCCACACAGAAGGGCAAUCAUGAAAAUGCAAUACAAAGUGCGGAAGGAAUAUGCUGGAUAUGUUACGAGCCGGAGUGAAAAUGGAUUCUGAAAUGUGGUAAUGGUUGAAUAAAGUUCUUAACCAUU